GACGAACGCUGGCGGCACGCCUAACACAUGCAAGUCGAACGGACUUAAAAGAGCUUGCUUUUUUAAGUUAGUGGCGGACGGGUGAGUAACACGUGAGCAACCUGCCUCUGAGAGGGGGAUAGCUUCUGGAAACGGAUGGUAAUACCCCAUAAAAUAUAAAUAUCGCAUGAUAGAUAUAUCAAAGAAAUUCGCUCAGAGAUGGGCUCGCGUCUGAUUAGAUAGUUGGUGAGGUAACGGCUCACCAAGUCGACGAUCAGUAGUCGGACUGAGAGGUUGAACGGCCACAUUGGGACUGAGACACGGCCCAGACUCCUACGGGAGGCAGCAGUGGGGAAUAUUGCACAAUGGAGGGAACUCUGAUGCAGCGAUGCCGCGUGGAGGAAGAAGGUUUUCGGAUUGUAAACUCCUUUUAUCAGGGACGAUAAUGACGGUACCUGAAGAAAAAGCUCCGGCUAACUACGUG
rnacentral:rRNA from 1 species